rnacentral:rRNA from 1 species
AACGAACGCUGGCGGCGUGCCUAACACAUGCAAGUCGAACGUGAAAGUCCUUCGGGAUGAGUAAAGUGGCGCACGGGUGAGUAAUGCGUAGAUAAUCUGCCUGAUGAUCUGGGAUAACAUCUCGAAAGGGGUGCUAAUACCGGAUAAGCCCACGGGCUCUUCGGAGCUUGCGGGAAAAGGGGGGGACCUUCGGGCCUUCUGUCAUCAGAUGAGUCUACGUACCAUUAGCUAGUUGGUAGGGUAAAGGCCUACCAAGGCGACGAUGGUUAGCUGGUCGUAGAGGAUGAUCAGCCACACUGGAACUGAGACACGGUCCAGACUCCUACGGGAGGCAGCAGUGGGGAAUUUUGCGCAAUGGGGGAAACCCUGACGCAGCAACGCCGCGUGAGUGAUGAAGGCCUUCGGGUCGUAAAGCUCUGUCAGAGGGAAAGAAAUGUGGGGCGCUAAUACCGUUUCCACUUGACGGUACCCUCAAAGGAAGCACCGGCUAACUCCGUGCCAGCCGCCGCGGUAACAC